AUGGAUUCCUUUGAGUCUGUGUUUGCUGAAACUCAGGAAACACAACUUAGGAAAAGAUGCAAAGCCAGUGAACCACUCAUGGACAGCUGUUUCAUGGUAAUGCAAAUCAUCAGCAUGAGGUUGGUUACUGGCUUGCUAGUGAGGCUUGACAGUACUUGAAUGAGGCAAAAAUUUGAUUUUUUUGUUAAACUAAUUUGCAUAUUCCCACCUAGAAUCCUUUGC